GAUUAGUGGCGAACGGGUGAGUAACACGUGAGUAACCUGCCCUUGACUCUGGGAUAACCUCCGGAAACGGAAGCUAAUACCGGAUAUGACGCACGGAGGCAUCUCCUGUGCGUGGAAAGAACUUCGGUCAAGGAUGGACUCGCGGCCUAUCAGGUAGUUGGUGAGGUAACGGCCCACCAAGCCUACGACGGGUAGCCGGCCUGAGAGGGUGACCGGCCACACUGGGACUGAGACACGGCCCAGACUCCUACGGGAGGCAGCAGUGGGGAAUAUUGCACAAUGGGCGCAAGCCUGAUGCAGCAACGCCGCGUGAGGGACGACGGCCUUCGGGUUGUAAACCUCUUUUAGUAGGGAAGAAGCGAAAGUGACGGUACCUGCAGAAAAAGCACCGGCUAACUACGUGCCAGCAGCCGCGGUAAUACGUAGGGUGCGAGCGUUGUCCGGAAUUAUUGGGCGUAAAGAGCUCGUAGGCGGUCUGUCGCGUCUGCUGUGAAAUCCCGAGGCUCAACCUCGGGCCUGCAGUGGGUACGGGCAGACUAGAGUGCGGUAGGGGAGAAUGGAAUUCCUGGUGUAGCGGUGGAAUGCGCAGAUAUCAGGAGGAACACCGAUGGCGAAGGCAGUUCUCUGGGCCGUAACUGACG
rnacentral:rRNA from 1 species